UUCCGGACUGGUUUUAAUAGAGAUGAAGAACCCAGCCUCACACAAUAUCCAGAAUCAACCUGCAAAUCUAUGAAAUAAAAUGGCUUCCUGAGAUUUACAUCACACAUUUCCUGUAUCUACAGAACCCGCAGAUUUCUUCAUCUAUUAUAGGCCUGUGCUUUCAUCCUGAUAUUAACACUAAGGGGGGGAAACAUUUUAGAAAGAGACAUGUGCUGAGUGCAUUUGUUCCUAAGUCAUCUGAAGGUUGAGAAAGUCAGAUAAUAGUUUCAGUUUAAUCAGAACAAGUUUUCUCAUCUCUUCCUCAAAUAAUUUGCUGUACUUGGGUGGUUGCAGGGAUCCCAAGGACUUCAGAGUCUAGCAAAAUCUGAUCAACUCUCCAAAAAGAGUCCUUCAGAACCUCUCAGACUAACUGCAAAUAACUUUCCAUUUAUUCGAACCAGGUGACAAUAUCAAAUCACAUUAUGUUCAUGUAGGAAGUAAUUGAAAGGCAACUCCUUAGUUCUGAAAUCAGAAGUUGGUCAAAAGUCUAAUAUUUUCGAAAGAUGUAUCAUUUUGAGAAAGUGAAGAAAAUUACAUUUUUCUAUCUUUCAAAAAAAUCUAACAGUAUCUUUUUAUUGCAUUUUUAAGGUACCUUGGUUUCUGCUAUGAUAUUGAAGAACAAAUCAAGGACAUAAGGCUGAGAGAUACAAUGUGGCUGAUUUCAAACAGAAACGAUGCUCAGUACUUCAUUACCUGUUUUGUUGUUGUUCAGAGUCUUCUUUCCAGCUCUUGCCCUGCCUUAGCCUAUGCCACACUUCUGUGCUUCUCCUGUUCUAACAAUGCAAAUUCACUACCCUGGCUUCAUUUUGUUUGACUACUAUUUCUCUAUUCUACUUGAUAACACUGUUUGAUUCAUUUCAAUUCAAUGAAAGUCAAUUCAUUCUAAUUGAUAUUUGAGCAGUUACUCUCUCCUGGAUACAUUUUAUCACCUAUAUUUAGAAUACUCAAAAAUGCAACCUUAAGCUAUCUGAUGGAUCUAAACCUACAUUGUCUAUUGGACAUCAUCUCCAGGGUAACCUAUAAUGUCCUCAUUCUAAGCAUAUCUAAAAUUAAACUUAGGAUUUUUCUCUGGAAAUAAGACUUUACCUACUUCUUACUUAGGAUAACACGAUAUUAAUGUGAAUAUUAUUUUAGCUACUCAUAUAUAAAUCUCUAUGUUGUAUUUAACUAGUUUUUCAAAAUUCCUUUCAAUAAAGCUUCAUUUUCCCCAACA
rnacentral:lncRNA from 1 species